AUGAACGCUGGCGGUGUGCCUCAUACAUGCCAGUCGAGCGCACGGACGAGAAGCUUGCUUCUCUGAUGUUAGCGGCGGACGGGUGAGUAACACGUGGAUAACCUACCUAUAAGACUGGGAUAACUUCGGGAAACCGGAGCUAAUACCGGAUAAUAUUUUGAACCGCAUGGUUCAAAAGUGAAAGACGGUCUUGCUGUCACUUAUAGAUGGAUCCGCGCUGCAUUAGCUAGUUGGUAAGGUAACGGCUUACCAAGGCAACGAUGCAUAGCCGACCUGAGAGGGUGAUCGGCCACACUGGAACUGAGACACGGUCCAGACUCCUACGGGAGGCAGCAGUAGGGAAUCUUCCGCAAUGGGCGAAAGCCUGACGGAGCAACGCCGCGUGAGUGAUGAAGGUCUUCGGAUCGUAAAACUCUGUUAUUAGGGAAGAACAUAUGUGUAAGUAACUGUGCACAUCUUGACGGUACCUAAUCAGAAAGCCACGGCUAACUACGUG
rnacentral:rRNA from 1 species